AAUCAACGCUGGCGGCGUGCCUCAGACAUGCAAGUCGAACGAGAAAGUCCCCUUCGGGGGAGUAAGUAAAGUGGCGCACGGGUGAGUAACACGUAGGUAAUCUACCUUCGGGUGGGGAAGUAACCCAGGGAAACUUGGGCUAACACCGCAUAAUGCAGCGGCACCACAUGGUGACAGUUGUUAAAGCGGGGGAGUUUUCGACCUCGCGCCUGAAGAGGAGCCUGCGGCGGAUUAGCUAGUUGGUAAGGAACGGCUUACCAAGGCAACGAUCCGUAGCCGGCCUGAGAGGGCGGUCGGCCACACUGACACUGACAUACGGGUCAGACUCCUACGGGAGGCAGCAGUGGGGAAUCUUGCGCAAUGGGCGAAAGCCUGACGCAGCGACGCCGCGUGAGGGAUGACGGCCUGG
rnacentral:rRNA from 1 species